GAUGAACGCUGGCGGCGUGCCUAAUACAUGCAAGUCGAGCGAACGGACGAGAAGCUUGCUUCUCUGAUGUUAGCGGCGGACGGGUGAGUAACACGUGGAUAACCUACCUAUAAGACUGGGAUAACUUCGGGAAACCGGAGCUAAUACCGGAUAAUAUUUUGAACCUCAUGGUUCAAAAGUGAAAGACGGUCUUGCUGUCACUUAUAGAUGGAUCCGCGCUGCAUUAGCUAGUUGGUAAGGUAACGGCUUACCAAGGCAACGAUGCAUAGCCGACCUGAGAGGGUGAUCGGCCACACUGGAACUGAGACACGGUCCAGACUCCUACGGGAGGCAGCAGUAGGGAAUCUUCCGCAAGGGGCGAAAGCCUGACGGAGCAACGCCGCGUGAGUGAUGAAGGUCUUCGGAUCGUAAAACUCUGUUAUUAGGGAAGAACAUAUGUGUAAGUAACUGUGCACAUCUUGACGGUACCUAAUCAGAAAGCCACGGCUAACUACGUG
rnacentral:rRNA from 1 species